GCUUAAGAACAUGUUUUUCUGGGGAACAAAGAUCCAAGACACUACACAGCAAAAUGGAGACACUGUGAUCUUGACCAUAUACCCUGAAACUCCCUCAUAGAAGUAUCAUACAAUUUUGCUCAUUAAAUCCAACAGGCUGUUCUUCAUCAUCAAGAAAUGGAGACUCAGAAAGUUUGGAGCACUCCUUUGCUGAAGAUCUGUUAAAUUAUCUGAUUUAUUUUACUUUCCUCCAAAUGAUUAAGCCCCAGGCUAUGAAAUUUUGUCCUAUUGCCCACGUUGAACUAAAAUUCCUUCAGUUAUCUCUUUUGAGUCUGCAUAAAUUUUCCUUUGCCUGUAUGAAAGUCUGACUAUUGGUCAUUUCUUUGGAGAGGUUGGGAGGAGAAAGAAAGUGAAAAGGUCAAAUCAUUGCCAAUUUUAAAUCAAGCCCUG
rnacentral:lncRNA from 1 species